rnacentral:rRNA from 1 species
UACGUAGGGGGCAAGCGUUGUCCGGAUUUAUUGGGCGUAAAGAGCGUGUAGGCGGCCUGACAGGUCUGCUGUGAAAACUCGAGGCUCAACCUCGAGAUGUCGGCGGAAACCGUCUGGCUAGAGUCCGGAAGAGGAGAGUGGAAUUCCUGGUGUAGCGGUGAAAUGCGCAGAUAUCAGGAAGAACACCUAUGGCGAAGGCAGCUCUCUGGGACGUUACUGACACUGAGGCGCGAAAGCGUGGGGAGCGAACAGG